CGCGGUAUUUUGACCGUGCGAAGGUAGCAUAAUCAUUAGUCUUUUAAUUGAAGGCUUGUAUGAAGGGUUGGACGAGAAAUUGGCUGUCUUUGUAGAAAUGAUGGAAUUUAACUUUUAAGUGAGAAGGCUUAAAUGUUCUAAAGGGACGAUAAGACCCUAUAAAGUUUGACGGUCUGGGGCUUAAAAAACAAGUUGGGUUUCUAGAGUUUGUUAGGAAUGGAGUGUUUUGUUGGGGCGAUAAGAAUAUAAAUGAUUUAACUGUUUUAUGGUUAGUUACAAAGAUAGUUGGGUUCAUGAUCCUUGUUAGAGAUUGUUAGAAUAAAUUACUUUAGGGAUAACAGCGUAAUUUUUUUUGAGAGUUCUUAUCGACAAAGAAGUUUGCGACCUCGAUGUUGAAUUAAAAGUUCUUUGUGGCGUAGCAGUUAGGAGAGAAGGUCUGUUCGA
rnacentral:rRNA from 1 species